UACGAGAGGCCCAAACGUUAUUCGGAAUUACUGGGCUUAAAGAGUCCGUAGGCGGCGCAGAAAGUAGGGUGUGAAAGCCCUCGGCUCAACCGAGGAAUUGCGCUCUAAACUACUGUGCUUGAGGAACCUAGAGGUGAGCGGAACUGAUGGUGGAGCGGUGAAAUGCGUUGAUAUCAUCAGGAACACCGGAGGCGAAGGCGGCUCACUGGGGGUUUUCUGACGCUGAGGGACGAAAGCCAGGGGAGCGAACGGG
rnacentral:rRNA from 1 species